rnacentral:rRNA from 1 species
AUGAACCAAACUAUUCCAAGUCCAAGUAAGCAAAUCAUGCCUCGUCCUCGUCUCCAUGGCCGCGCCCCAGCUUCGCUUGCCAUCCACCACCUCCUCAUUUCGUUCCUCCUCACGCUGUCCCCGCUCGCGUCUGCGCAGCAAGAGUACGAGGCCAACGCGCAGAGCGACUGCUACGCCAACAACGGCAGCUCGGUCCUCGGCUACACCUGCAGCAAGAGCAAGAGCAACCACGCAAACUCCUCCUCGGCACCGGCAUGCGCCACCUACCUGGCCUUCCGCUCCGAUCUGCCCGGCUACGGCUCCCCAAUCACCGUCGCCUACCUCCUCAACGCCAGCACGUCCGCCGUCGCCGCCGCCAACUCCGUGCCCGUCGCCUCCCCGGUCCAGAACGGCACCCUGCUCCUCGUCCCCGUCCGCUGCGCCUGCACGGCGGCGGGGCACUACCAGCAUGACGCCGCCUACGUCAUCCAGUUCGACUACGAGACCUACUUCUCCAUCUCGAGCGACCUGUACCAGGGGCUCUCCACCUGCCAGGCGAUGAUGGCGCAGAACCCCGCGCAUGAUAGCCUCGAUCUGUAUCCCGGCAUCGCCCUCACCGUGCCGCUCCGCUGCGCGUGCCCUUCGCCCGCGCAGGCCUCGGCUGGAGUCAAGUACCUCGUGACCUACGUCCUCGACUGGGACGACGACGCGUCCACCGUCGCCGACCGCUUCCACGCCGACUACCAGGCCCUGCUUCACGCCAAUAGCAUCACCGACGACACCACCGUAUACCCGUUCACCACCAUGCUGGUGCCACUCAAGGAUCCGCCCACCUCUGAAAUAGCGUUCCUGCCGGAGCCACCGACACCGUCACCAGCACCGUCCGAUCCGGCGUCAGUCCCGCCGGCGAGUUCCACUGAAUCAAGCAGUGGUCCUACUCCUAGGUGGCGGGUCGUCGUCGGCGUUGCUGCUGGAUGCAGUGUUCUUACUUUGGGUGUCGUGCUUGCUCUCUUCUUGCUACGCCGUUGGUGUCGGCGGCACGGCGACCGUGGUGACCGAAGCAAGACCACCCUACCGGCAGUGGAGCAUGCUGCGCCAGACGGGCCGGCGAAGGGAGCUUUGACGAGGGCGGCGUCCUUGAUGUGGCCCAUGGUGGUGCGCGAGGCAGUGGGGUCGCUGACCGUGUACGACUACGGGGAUCUAGAGAGGGCGACGUCAGGUUUCUCGGAGGAGCAGCGUAUUGGAAACUCGUCGGUCUACCGCGCGGUGAUCAACGGCAGCGCUGUGGUCGUGAAGCGAGUGCCCGGCGACGUGGGCACUGAGGUGACCAUCCUGGGGCGCGUCAACCACUCGAGCCUCAUCCGCAUGUCCGGCCUGUGCAUGCACGGCGGCUACACCUACACGGUGUUCGAGUUCGCCGGGAACGGCGCGCUCAGCGACUGGCUCCACGGAGGCGAGGAGGAGGAGGGCCGCGUGCUCGGGUGGAGCCAGCGCGUGCAGGUGGCGCUCGACGUGGCAGGCGGGCUCAACUACCUGCACAACUACACCGAUCCUCCCUACGUGCAUAAGAAUCUCAAGGCCAGCAACAUCCUCCUCGACGCGUGCUUCCGCGCCAAGCUCUCAAACUUCGGCCUCGCGCGCGCGAUCACCACGGACGACGAGGACGACGACCGCGGCGGCCUGUGGAUGACCCGGCACGUGGUCGGCACGCAAGGUUAUCUGGCGCCCGAGUACCUCGAGCACGGGUUGAUCGGCCCCCAGCUCGACGUGUUCGCGUUCGGCGUCCUCGUGCUUCAGCUCUUGUCCGGGAAGGAGGCGGCUAGACAAGACGAUGACGUCGGCGGCGGCGAGAACGGGAAGGUGGUAUUGCUUUGGGAGGAAGCGGAACGGUUGGGCCUGGGCGGCGGCGCCGGCGACCUGCUGGACAAGGUGACGGCGUUCGUCGACGGCCGGCUGCAUGGGCGGUACCCGUUGGACGUGGUGUUCGCUAUGCUCGCGUUGGCACUGAGGUGCGUGGCCCGGGAGCCCCGGACGCGGCCGUCCAUGGCCGAGGUGCUCCUUUCGCUCUCGGGAAUGUACAAUUGGACAAUAAAUUGGGACCCUCGGUGCCCUGACGGCACCGGAACUCGUCACGAACAAUAG